GUACCGCCUAGUGAUAACUUCACUGGCCACUCCUCAGAUGGCUGUUAGAGAUCCUUCCUGGGUCAUGGCUGCCUAAAAUGCAUCCAAACAUUCAGUAUCAACUCCCUCUGCAUGCAGACACUGAACUUUCCUCAUAGAGAUUCAUUGAUUCAAUUCAUCUCUAUGAGGAGAUGCUGAUUGGCCAGGGCUGUGUUUGAAUCAUGCUGGCUCUGCCCCUGAUCUGCCUCCUUAUCAGUCUCAGCCAAUCCUAUGGGGAAGCAUUGUGAUUGGAUCAGGCCACCACUUCUG
rnacentral:lncRNA from 1 species